ACACUCCUACGGGAGGCAGCAGUGGGGAAUAUUGGACAAUGGGCGCAAGCCUGAUCCAGCCAUGCCGCGUGAGUGAUGAAGGCCCUAGGGUUGUAAAGCUCUUUCACCGGUGAAGAUAAUGACGGUAACCGGAGAAGAAGCCCCGGCUAACUUCGUGCCAGCAGCCGCGGUAAUACGAAGGGGGCUAGCGUUGUUCGGAUUUACUGGGCGUAAAGCGCACGUAGGCGGACUAUUAAGUCAGGGGUGAAAUCCCGGGGCUCAACCCCGGAACUGCCUUUGAUACUGGUAGUCUUGAGUUCGAGAGAGGUGAGUGGAAUUCCGAGUGUAGAGGUGAAAUUCGUAGAUAUUCGGAGGAACACCAGUGGCGAAGGCGGCUCACUGGCUCGAUACUGACGCUGAGGUGCGAAAGCGUGGGGAUCAAACAGGAUUAGAUACCCUGGUAGUCCCAUG
rnacentral:rRNA from 1 species